rnacentral:rRNA from 1 species
AUUGAACGCUGGCGGCAUGCCUUACACAUGCAAGUCGAACGGUAGAGGGGGCAACCCCUUGAGAGUGGCGAACGGGUGAGUAAUGCAUCGGAACGUGCCCAGUUGCGGGGGAUAACACUUCGAAAGAAGUGCUAAUACCGCAUACGACCUGAGGGUGAAAGCGGGGGACUCGCAAGAGCCCCGCGCAAUUGGAGCGGCCGGUGUCAGAUUAGGUAGUUGGUGGGGUAAAGGCCUACCAAGCCGACGAUCUGUAGCUGGUCUGAGAGGACGACCAGCCACACUGGGACUGAGACACGGCCCAGACUCCUACGGGAGGCAGCAGUGGGGAAUUUUGGACAAUGGACGCAAGUCUGAUCCAGCCAUGCCGCGUGCAGGAAGAAGGCCUUCGGGUUGUAAACUGCUUUUGUCAGGGAAGAAAUCCUUUGGGUUAAUACCUCGGGGGGAUGACGGUACCUGAAGAAUAAGCACCGGCUAACUACGUGCCAGCAGCCGCAGUAA